UACGGGGGGGGCAAGCGUUGUUCGGAAUUACUGGGCGUAAAGGGCUCGUAGGCGGCCAACUAAGUCAGACGUGAAAUCCCUCGGCUUAACCGGGGAACUGCGUCUGAUACUGGAUGGCUUGAGUUUGGGAGAGGGAUGCGGAAUUCCAGGUGUAGCGGUGAAAUGCGUAGAUAUCUGGAGGAACACCGGUGGCGAAGGCGGCAUCCUGGACCGACACUGACGCUGAGGAGCGAAAGCCGGGGGAGCAAACGGG
rnacentral:rRNA from 1 species